CGAAAAACCGGCGGAGAAGAGCGCCGGCUCGGACAACUACAGCACGGAGUCGCCGGCAGAAGGUGCCGCCGACGCAUCGUGUCUUGAAAAGACUUGACGCAGAGGUAAAAAGUUUCAAAACCUGCUGCUGAUGUUGAGCGAUUCUAGCAGGGUUAAAUGAUCCGUCAAUGCUAUACGCUGCUGUUUCAAUUACUUACAGUUA
rnacentral:sRNA from 1 species